AUGAGACACCGAAUCAGCAGUCAUGUUGCUGAGAUAUGACUGCACAGGGGUCAAAGUGGAAGACCAGGAGGCACUCAGACAGAUGUCCCCCACUGGAAACCUCCAUUAGCAUCCUUGCAGUGCCCCCUCAUGAUGUGUGCCCUCAGGCCCGCAGGAGUAGUGUGAUCCACUGCCUCGUAACUCCUGUGGCUUGCAUCACAAAUCCAGUGAGCCAGCUGCUGCACAGACAAAAGGGCCCCCACGUCUGACCGCUCCGUCAUCUGGACCUCAGUGAUUGCUGCCACUGACAACUCAGUCCUCCAGUGCAUGAGGCGGGCCAGAGAUCCCACCAAGAAGGCCAUGUUGUUCUUCAGUGCCACCUCCUGGGCCAAGCUGAACAGUCCUGGCAGGUUGUCGAGUGGCAAACGACGGGCAAUGAAGACCCUCUUUGAGAAGCAGCACUCAGGGGAGUUCAUCAGCAGCAAAGAUAUUUGUUGCCACAGCUCAAGCUGGUUUCAUAACUGAUGACGUGUGGACUUUGAUGAAGAAACACUGCACUUACCCUCGCAGAGAGACGCAUUCAUUAUUCUGAAGCAUCCGAAAUUGUCAUCUGACUGGAUGGAAAUGAAGUUGAAUCUGAUCCAGUGUUACCUGUUGGAUUCCUAUAAGCACAGGUGAUGCACAUACACUCACACACACCCACACCCACACACUCACACACCAUGCUUCUCAUCUUUCUGUCGGUCCUUCUUGCCGUCUCUCUCUCCCUGCCUCACACGGCAGCAGGCGGGCUUGCAGCCUACCAAUGCGUUCAGUGAGGGGAUUUGGCCGGGCUCUAAUCAAUCACUGACAGAUUACCUCCAAAGCCACUUCCACAGCCAUUAAAGCAGGACAAAUGCAGAAUUGCAACUGAACAAGUUGGAGUUUUUAAGCCAACACCAGGACUUCCUGGUUAUUUGUCAAAGUCACUGCCGCUGAGCCGCAUGAGUGGCUGUGAGGGUGUGUGAGGCUCAGAGGCAAGCCGGCCAGCCGUUUGCAUUUUGUGUGUGUGUGUGUGUGUGUGUGUGUUGGGGAGAAUGAAGGAGAGAGCAAGAGACAGUAACAGAGUGAGUGAGUUAUUGUUAGUGUGUGUUUUUAUGCUCUCAGGUGUGUGUGUGUGUGUGUGUGUGUGUACGUACGCACGCCGUCGGCUGCGUCGCUCUCGGCCCACUGGAGCUUACAGUAAAUCACAUUCCCUUUAUUGCCAAAUUUAGCAGCUUAUGCUCAAUAGGCUCUGCUCAAAUCUACGCCGUGUCCCAUCAGGCCGUUAGUCUGGGCUCAUAAAAGUGGAUUGACCACACACAUGCACUGCAGCCUCUGAGCAAAGACGACUCAUCCCCUCUUCUUCUUUUUUUCCCUCCUAGAUUAUUUCCCCUCUUCUUUAUCUGAGCAACUGGAGACACUGUCUGGGCUUUUCUAAUCUCCCCCUUUUUCCUCCCUCUGGAUUUCCUGCUUUGAGAUUGUCCCCCAUUCACUGGGGCUUUGUUUGUAUCAGGGCCCAUUUGAUAGAAGACAGUAAGAAAUUGGAUAUCAUCAUUUUCAUAGCUUGUAUUACCAAGGGAGCACGGUCUGUUCUAAAUGUAUUGUACAGUUUAUAAAGAGUGGACAUUUUAUCCUAUAAGCUUUCUUCUUCUCUACCCAAAUUGAUUUUGACGUUUUCACAUCUUGGCAGACAUGGCGGGUUAAGUGCUGAUAAUUAUUUGGAAGAGAUGAAUAAAAAUAUGAAAUGUGUCUAGAAGAGGUGACAUCAAAGCAGCGGGGUUUGUUGCAUGUUUUUCCUCUUAUACUGUGAAUAUUGAACAUUUGGAGUCGAGGUUUGAUUAGAGUGGCAUUCAGUGGGUCCUUUGAUUAGGCACUUACGGUGAAAAACGCCUUUGUGUUUGCCUCGUACCGGAGAACAUGUCUUACACCCAUUCAGAGCAGUGAUUUAAUAAACACCGCAUGAGGGAUAAUAUCACAUCCGGUUUGUUUGUCCUCUUUUUUUUUCCUCUGGUUUUUGGAGCGCGUAUGGAAGCCGUGAAGUGAUGAAGGCCGACACUGAAGUCCGCAGGCACUGGAGUUGAAAUUUAGCUGGUCAUGUGACUAUGACUCCCCCCCCCACCAACACACACACACACACAC